rnacentral:rRNA from 1 species
UACAGAGGUCCCGAGCGUUGUUCGGAUUCAUUGGGCGUAAAGGGUGCGUAGGUGGCGCUGUAAGUGGGGUGUGAAAUCCCGGGGCUUAACCCCGGGACUGCAUUCCAUACUGCGGUGCUUGAGGACUGGAGAGGAGACUGGAAUUUACGGUGUAGCAGUGAAAUGCGUAGAUAUCGUAAGGAAGACCAGUGGCGAAGGCAGGUCUCUGGGCCGAUACUGACGCUGAGGAGCGAAAGCGUGGGGAGCGAACAGG